rnacentral:lncRNA from 1 species
ACCAUGUUUCUCUCCCACUUCUCCAAGAUACGUAUGAAAAUGUUGAGCUAAAUUAGGCUUUAUAAAUAAGCUGAUAGGGAAAAGACUUAACUUGUGUUUUUCUCCCUUACAGAUUUUAUGAUAGGGGAAAGCUAAUUUUCAGAUAGCUUAAAAACUACAGGAAAAAAAAACCUUAAAAAAAAUCCAGCUACUCCUGAAUGGAUGUUCCUCACUCAGGUUUUCAACAAUCAUCUGAAACAGAGGAAGCUUCCAGUUCCUUCAGCACUGGAGAACAUCUAAUGGUAACAGUCCUGCACACCAAAUAUAAUGAAUUUCAAAUGCAGCUUAUAAAACUUCCUCUGCCUGGGUUCGUUGAACUGCAUGGACUUGCCAUGGUAGAAGGAGAUAUGUUUAGUC